rnacentral:sRNA from 1 species
GACCGGAGCCAAGCCGGUCAUUUACACCCAAAGCAAAAGGCCCCGGCGAUCGCUCGCCGGGGCCUUUUCAUUUAUCGCU